rnacentral:ncRNA from 17 species
AGGUUUCCUCCACGAAGGGUUCCGAGAAGUUUGCCUUCUGGAAGGGAUCGAAAUACCCGGCGGGGUUGCCCGCCAUCCAUGAAUAGGUCCGCGUGGAACUGAGCCACUGCAGGAAAAGGUAUGCGGCCUCCGGGUUGGCGCUGCGCGAGCUGACGGUACCGGUGAUGUUGUAAUAGAUCACCGACCGGCGCACGAGGCCGUCGUCAUGCUGCACACCCGGCGGGGCAUGGGCCG